GCCUGAUGCUGAACUUCGGGCAGCUGCGUGCUCCGUGGAACAACCGCCUGUGGGAGGAGUCGUUGUGUUGCUGUUAGGAGUUUGGGUCGGAGUCCUGGAUCUAUGGGAAUUCUUUCCUUGAAGCUCCUGAUCACACAACCAUACUGGCAGUCGGCUUACCCACUACCUUCUGCUCACCCGCUUGCAACUCAUGCUGUCAUUCUCCCAGACUUCUGGUGGUUUCUCCACCAUUCUGCUGUCUCCCGUCUGCGCUACAACUUCAGACCGGCCUUCUGAUCUUUAAACACUAAAACCUGUGGCUCCAUCUCUGUGGCGUUUCUCAGUCUCUGUAAGCUACCUGCACAGUCUAAGAAAAACCUGACCUGUUGCCUCUUACUAACCUCUGCUCUUCCUCGCAGAAGCGUCUGGUUCCUGAUCUCCA